UGAGAGAGCUGCGAGGUAACAGAUCAUCAGAGCAGAGAGGAAAAGGUGGAGCGGAGAGCCUAUCCGAUUAACAAAAGAUUAGUGUCCUGUUCGGGUCAAGCAUGCCCGGUGGAACUGCUGAGAGUGUUUCUGACUGGGCAGGCUCUGUCUGCUGGUCUGUUGCCGAGCCGGAGGAUUUCUCCACUGUCAAAGUCUCACACAGUUCUCUGAGAGAUUCAGAGUGUUCCUCGACAGAUGCAGCCUCCUGGCUUCAUGGCUUGCUGGAUGCGUCCCUGCAGACGAAGCCUGGCCUUCUCCAGUCGGCUCCUGGCCAUCGACUGGGCUUUGCAG